GGGAAGUUGGCUCAGUGGUAGAGUGCUUGCCUUGUAUGCAUGAGGCCCUGGGUUGAAUUCCUU
rnacentral:tRNA from 1 species